rnacentral:rRNA from 1 species
UACGAAGGGGGCUAGCGUUGUUCGGAGUUACUGGGCGUAAAGGGCGCGUAGGCGGCGCACCAAGUCAGGCGUGAAAGCCCUGGGCUCAACCCGGGAAUUGCGCUUGAGACUGGUGUGCUUGAGUACGGGAGAGGAUAGUGGAAUUCCCAGUGUAGAGGUGAAGUUCGUAGAUAUCAGGAGGAACACCUGCGGUGUAGACGGCUUUCUGGACCAUUGCUGACGCUGAGACACGAAAGCGUGGGUAGCAAACAGG